AAACCAUCAGUUUGUGCACCGUUCUCCUUGACACAUGGGUUCACACGUAAAUCAGACAGAGGAUAUUUGUACACAUGUGACUCAGACUAUAAAACAUUUGAUGGGAAAUGGUGGGGAGAGGUAACCUGCCAGGGUGGUCAAUGGAGUGAUACACCACAGUGUAUACCUGACAAGAAAUGUGGUAAAAUACCCACUGUUUUUAAAGUAAUAAAUCAAGGAAAUCGAGCAUUUGAGGACAGUGAACGGCAUGAAUUUGAAUGUGAAGUAGGACCAUGUUGUUUUCAUUGUGCCAAUGGGAAAUGGCAGAACCAGGAUUGUGCAUAUCAGAAAUGUCCUACUCCUCCCUAUGUUGAAAACGCCGUUAUUACUUCUCAUGAAGCGAGAACUUCUCAGCAAUCAGUGACAUAUGAGUGCCGUGAAAAUUACAGCAUAACCGGGCAAAAGAAAAUCAACUGCAUCGACUCAAAGUGGGGAAAUGCACCAACAUGUACAUGUAAGUAGAUUUAGACCUGAAAUAUGCUGUACACAUACAACUACUCUGUUUUCCUCAAUGACAUGUAUUUACAAUCCACUUUUCUCUUUUUUAAAUGUUAUCUUUGUUUUAAUAUUGUCUACGUGUCUAUACUGUCAUGUCUAUGACUGUACGUUACUGCAAAACCCAAACUCCCAAACAACACAAGAAUUCACAUUCCAAAUAUACAAAUGGGAGGCAAUUUGAUUUUUGAAUCAAUGAAUCAAUGAUGAAUCAGAGACCUGGCAUGUUUGUUUGGGGCACAUGUGAUAGUUUAGAAAAUAGGUGUCAGAUAAAAAACAGAGAUAAAUGCAUGUUGUUCUCAAGUUAAAACCUCGCUAAACUUCUAUAACGAUUCCGGUUUAAAAUUAUAAUUUAAAACUAUAUUCCCAGCAUGGUGAGCAAUUCACAUGUUGUUUAGGUGAAUUGUUAGUUUCUGAUAUGUUGAUAGCUAUUUGUGAUUAGCACCAUUGUUUAAUGUUUGUGUAGACAUUUACUGUUUUUUAUAUUGCUUGUUGAAAUAUUCAAGCAGUAUAUGUUGCAUUUAGUUGUUAAACAAAGUUUAGCAUGGGUUUGUAACACAGAGACUGUUCUAAAAACAUGUGAUAAUGCUUGAUGCAUAUACGUUAAUUUGUGAUAUUAGCAUAAUAGGGAUUAUUAUAUUUUAAGUUAUAAGCAUAUCAUUUAAUGCUUACUAUCUAAAGCUGAUGUUCAAAUGUUUGCAGAAAUGUAAUUGGUGAUGUAAACAAUACUGGAUAGUAUUUGUGAAUUGUUUUGUUUUUACAGUUUGACCACAUCUAUACACAUGAAUGUGCAAAAAAUACUUAACUAAAAUUAGGCUACAACAACAACAACGACCAAAUGUGUACAUUGUGAGUUCAGCACAAGAGGAAUAAAAGACAAAAUCAAGA